rnacentral:lncRNA from 1 species
CUCUGAGUCCCCACACAUCAUACGGCUCUUCCCCUGCACGGCUCCCUGAGGCUCUGGGGCCUGGGACUCAUCCUCCCAGAGCACACCUGCCCCCCUCAACAGGGUCCCUGCAGAGUGUCCCCUGGUCUCCCCGUUUACCUCUAAAUGUAUCCCAUCAGCCCCCUGAGCCCAGGAGAUGGGAAGGAGCUGCUGGUGAGCGUCGCGCGUCUCCUGGAGGUGCCGAUGAGCGUCUUCGCAGACAUCACUGUUCUGGGCCCAGCGGUGACCUUCAGGGUGAGCGCCAGCAUCUGGAACCUGACGACAGCAGACGUGGUGCAGGCCACAGGGAAGCGGAUGUUGUCCGGACGGAGGCGGGUAUGCAUACCAGAAGCACAAGAGGAAAAUACUUCGUUCAAUUAUAAAUACAUGAGCACUGAGGUUUGGUGCCAAAGAAAAGAAGAUCUGCAGCACGGGUGCCUGCUUUUCGUGAGCAUGAGAUGCGUUCACAGCAGAGGCUGCUGGGGAGCACGCAGCCUUUCCUGAAAGGGUCUCUGUGUCCACAGAGACCCUUUUGCUUCCAUCCCAAUGGGAGAAAGCAAACCCCGAGGGCACCUUGUGGAGCCCCCAUAACACCACCUCCCCACCCACCCCCACCCCGUGUCAGGCUCCCACCCUGCUGCUUCCGCAUACCUGCCUCAAGGAGGCACCAUGCGGUGGGUCUGCCCACACAGCAGGCAAGCCUGUCAGCCCUGCCUGAGGAUGGACUCACGGGUUGUGACCCCGACUGGGUUUGCCUCCUACUAUAGAACACCAGGGCCACUCGACUCAAGCAGAUCUGUGGGUGGGAUGGAAGGAUGGCCCCUCCAUCGCCAGGACCCGAUGCGGGGCGGGGAUGGUGGGGAAGCCCAGCAGGUGGGCUUCAAGGGUUCUAUGUCAGUACGGGAUUCAUUCGUGAGCUGUGUUGGCGGGAGUUUUCAGACACAUGUUACGAUUAUUUUGAGAAGUUAAGGGAUAAUUUGGAUUCUCAGUCAAUGCUCUUUGUAUUAUUUAAAUAAUGCAUGUGCUUAUUAAGCAUUAGCUACCACCCUGUGGAGGGGGGACCCAAAAUGGCCUCAUUAAGAGGAUGAUGAAAAGACUCUCUUUAGGGCCCUUUCCAGGGCUUGGUAAUUACCACUGGCGUUCAUUAGGCAAAAGGGAAGGGAGAGGCCUGCUGCCGGGGUGUGUGUGUGUGUGUGUGUGUGUGUGUGUGUGUGUGCAGGAGACUGAGCUGAGGAUGGGGACGAGGGGAGGAGCCUGCGGGACGUCCUGUCCCUGGCUUUGUCCCCUGCCAGCCCCACCUCUGGCCCUGCAAGAACUUCCCUAGCUAGGGGCAAACCAAGAAGAGUGAAGAGCUACAAAACCCUGACACAGAAGGCGUAUUUCAGAGGUGACUGCUCCCUUUCCCAAAAGAAGAAGUGCUUUUAACAGGCGGGUCCAGCACAGAGCUGCUCCCGGAUGCUGUGCGAGCUUACCCCAGAUCCCCCGUCUACCCUGGGAGGCAGCCUCCUGCUGCCUGGGCCCCACCUAGACCUAGCCUGCCAAUCCCUGUGCGCCUGGCAGCCCACAGCAUGCAGACCAUGUGGUCCCCCAGAGGGGGGAUGAGGACCAGGGUCUCCCCACAGCCUCCGCAGCGAAGAAAUAUGAUGAAGUCCAGCCCAGGCAGUUUGGGCAGGGAUGGCUCCAGAUGUGGUGGGAUGACCGCUUCCCUGCAGAGCACAGGUGAGGA